rnacentral:rRNA from 1 species
AUACGGAGGGAGCAAGCGUUAUUCGGAAUCACUGGGCGUAAAGGACGCGUAGGCGGGUUUGUAAGUCAAGUGUGAAAUCCUACAGCUCAACUGUAGAACUGCACUUGAAACUACAGACCUAGAGUAUGGAAGGGGCAGAUGGAAUUAGUGGUGUAGGGGUAAAAUCCGUAGAUAUCACUAGGAAUACCGAAAGCGAAGGCGAUCUGCUGGGACAUUACUGACGCUGAGGCGUGAAAGCGUGGGGAGCAAACAGGAUUAGAAACCCUAGUAGUCC